UACGUAGGGGGCAAGCGUUAUCCGGAUUCAUUGGGCGUAAAGCGCUCGUAGGCGGUCUGUUAGGUCGGGAGUUAAAUCCGGGGGCUCAACCCCCGUUCGCUCCCGAUACCGGCAGACUUGAGUUUGGUAGGGGAAGGUGGAAUUCCUAGUGUAGCGGUGGAAUGCGCAGAUAUUAGGAAGAACACCAGUGGCGAAGGCGGCCUUCUGGGCCAUAACUGACGCUGAGGAGCGAAAGCUAGGGGAGCAAACAGG
rnacentral:rRNA from 2 species